rnacentral:rRNA from 1 species
GACGAACGCUGGCGGCGUGCUUAACACAUGCAAGUCGAACGGAAAGGCCCUGCUUUUGUGGGGUGCUCGAGUGGCGAACGGGUGAGUAACACGUGAGUAACCUGCCCUUGACUUUGGGAUAACUUCAGGAAACUGGGGCUAAUACCGGAUAGGAGCUCCUGCUGCAUGGUGGGGGUUGGAAAGUUUCGGCGGUUGGGGAUGGACUCGCGGCUUAUUAGCUUGUUGGUGGGGUAGUGGCUUACCAAGGCUUUGACGGGUAGCCGGCCUGAGAGGGUGACCGGCCACAUUGGGACUGAGAUACGGCCCAGACUCCUACGGGAGGCAGCAGUGGGGAAUAUUGCACAAUGGGCGGAGGCCUGAUGCAGCAACGCCGCGUGCGGGAUGACGGCCUUCGGGUUGUAAACCGCUUUCGCCUGUGACGAAGCGUGAGUGACGGUAAUGGGUAAAGAAGCACCGGCUAACUACGUGCCAGCAGCCGCGGUGAUACGUAGGGUGCGAGCGUUGUCCGGAUUUAUUGGGCGUAAAGGGCUCGUAGGUGGUUGAUCGCGUCGGAAGUGUAAUCUUGGGGCUUAACCCUGAGCGUGCUUUCGAUACGGGUUGACUUGAGGAAGGUAGGGGAGAAUGGAAUUCCUGGUGGAGCGGUGGAAUGCGCAGAUAUCAGGAGGAACACCAGUGGCGAAGGCGGUUCUCUGGGCCUUUCCUGACGCUGAGGAGCGAAAGCGUGGGGAGCGAACAGGCUUAGAUACCCUGGUAGUCCACGCUGUAAACGGUGGGUACUAGGUGUGGGGUCCAUUCCACGGGUUCCGUGCCGUAGCUAACGCUUUAAGUACCCCGCCUGGGGAGUACGGCCGCAAGGCUAAAACUCAAAGGAAUUGACGGGGCCCCGCACAAGCGGCGGAGCAUGCGGAUUAAUUCGAUGCAACGCGUAGAACCUUACCUGGGUUUGACAUGGAUCGGGAGUGCUCAGAGAUGGGUGUGCCUCUUUUGGGGUCGGUUCACAGGUGGUGCAUGGCUGUCGUCAGCUCGUGUCGUGAGAUGUUGGGUUAAGUCCCGCAACGAGCGCAACCCUUGUUCACUGUUGCCAGCACGUUAUGGUGGGGACUCAGUGGAGACCGCCGGGGUCAACUCGGAGGAAGGUGGGGAUGACGUCAAGUCAUCAUGCCCCUUAUGUCCAGGGCUUCACGCAUGCUACAAUGGCUGGUACAGAGAGUGGCGAGCCUGUGAGGGUGAGCGAAUCUCGGAAAGCCGGUCUCAGUUCGGAUUGGGGUCUGCAACUCGACCUCAUGAAGUCGGAGUCGCUAGUAAUCGCAGAACAGCAACGCUGCGGUGAACACGUUCCCGGG